rnacentral:rRNA from 1 species
CCAGCCGCCGUGGUAAUACGGAGGGUGCAAGCGUUAAUCGGAAUUACUGGGCGUAAAGCGCACGCAGGCGGUCUGUCAAGUCGGAUGUGAAAUCCCCGGGCUCAACCUGGGAACUGCAUUCGAAACUGGCAGGCUAGAGUCUUGUAGAGGGGGGUAGAAUUCCAGGUGUAGCGGUGAAAUGCGUAGAGAUCUGGAGGAAUACCGGUGGCGAAGGCGGCCCCCUGGACAAAGACUGACGCUCAGGUGCGAAAGCGUGGGGAGCAAACAGGAUUAGAUACCCUGGUAGUCCACGCCGUAAACGAUGUCGAUUUGGAGGUUGUGCCCUUGAGGCGUGGCUUCCGGAGCUAACGCGUUAAAUCGACCGCCUGGGGAGUACGGCCGCAAGGUUAAAACUCAAAUGAAUUGACGGGGGCCCGCACAAGCGGUGGAGCAUGUGGUUUAAUUCGAUGCAACGCGAAGAACCUUACCUGGUCUUGACAUCCACAGAACUUAGCAGAGAUGCUUUGGUGCCUUCGGGAACUGUGAGACAGGUGCUGCAUGGCUGUCGUCAGCUCGUGUUGUGAAAUGUUGGGUUAAGUCCCGCAACGAGCGCAACCCUUAUCCUUUGUUGCCAGCGGUUAGGCCGGGAACUCAAAGGAGACUGCCAGUGAUAAACUGGAGGAAGGUGGGGAUGACGUCAAGUCAUCAUGGCCCUUACGACCAGGGCUACACACGUGCUACAAUGGCAUAUACAAAGAGAAGCGACCUCGCGAGAGCAAGCGGACCUCAUAAAGUAUGUCGUAGUCCGGAUUGGAGUCUGCAACUCGACUCCAUGAAGUCGGAAUCGCUAGUAAUCGUAGAUCAGAAUGCUACGGUGAAUACGUUCCCGGGCCUUGUACACACCGCCCGUCACACCAUGGGAGUGGGUUGCAAAAGAAGUAGGUAGCUUAACCUUCGGGAGGGCGCUUACCACUUUGUGAUUCAUGACUGGGGUGAAGUCGUAACAAGGUAACCA